CCUCUGUUCACAGGGGGCUGGGUGGCCGUCGUGCGCCCGUCCACGCCGCGGAUCGACCACGUGCCGGCCAUCCACCACCUCCCCGGCGACCUACAAGUACCUCUCGACCCCCCUCGGCUGAACCCUAACCUCUCCUCCCUCCCCCUCGCGCCGUAACUCUUGCCCUCGCACACGCCCGAGCCCUCGCCGCCAUGGUCUCCGACGUCCACGUGCCUAUCGAGCUCCCCGCGCCCAGCCACCUCGUCCGCGAGCUUCUUCGACGUUCACUCCUUCGACUACAUCCACCAAUUGCAGCCGGGAGCCCCUGGAUCGCAGGGAUCGACAUCGUCUUCUACCUCCGGCCACCGCGACACCAUCGAUGGAUUUGUCGCCUUCGCUCCAUCCCCGGCCUCCUCGACCACGCCGCCGCGCUCACAGAGCCACGACACCACUGAUGACUACUACUACCCAGAGGAUGCCUACCACUACGUGAAGACCGUAGACGACUAGGAGUAGUUAGGAGGCUCCCAGGUAGGAGGCCUUGCCUUUUCGAUCGUUGUUGCUUUUGUGCUAGCCUUUUUAAGGCAAACUUGUCUAACUCAUGACUGUACUCAGAUAUUGUUGCUUCCGCCGACUCUUGUGUAUUCGAGCUUAUGUAUUCGAGCCCUUGAGGCCCCUGGCUUGUAAUAUAAAGCUUGUAUUAUUUUAA